GUAACCUGCCUGUAAGACUGGGAUAACUCCGGGAAACCGGGGCUAAUACCGGAUGGUUGUUUGAACCGCAUGGUUCAAACAUAAAAGGUGGCUUCGGCUACCACUUACAGAUGGACCCGCGGCGCAUUAGCUAGUUGGUGAGGUAANGGCUCACCAAGGCAACGAUGCGUAGCCGACCUGAGAGGGUGAUCGGCCACACUGGGACUGAGACACGGCCCAGACUCCUACGGGAGGCAGCAGUAGGGAAUCUUCCGCAAUGGACGAAAGUCUGACGGAGCAACGCCGCGUGAGUGAUGAAGGUUUUCGGAUCGUAAAGCUCUGUUGUUAGGGAAGAACAAGUACCGUUCGAAUAGGGCGGUACCUUGACGGUACCUAACCAGAAAGCCACGGCUAACUACGUGCCAGCAGCCGCGGUAAUACGUAGGUGGCAAGCGUUGUCCGGAAUUAUUGGGCGUAAAGGGCUCGCAGGCGGUUUCUUAAGUCUGAUGUGAAAGCCCCCGGCUCAACCGGGGAGGGUCAUUGGAAACUGGGGAACUUGAGUGCAGAAGAGGAGAGUGGAAUUCCACGUGUAGCGGUGAAAUGCGUAGAGAUGUGGAGGAACACCAGUGGCGAAGGCGACUCUCUGGUCUGUAAC
rnacentral:rRNA from 2 species